rnacentral:rRNA from 1 species
GAUGAACGCUGGUGGCGUGCUUAACACAUGCAAGUCGAACGGUAAGGCCCUUCGGGGUACACGAGUGGCGAACGGGUGAGUAACACGUGGGUGAUCUGCCCUGCACUUCGGGAUAAGCCUGGGAAACUGGGUCUAAUACCGGAUAGGACCACUGCCUGCAUGGGUGGUGGUGGAAAGCUUUUGCGGUGUGGGAUGGGCCCGCGGCCUAUCAGCUUGGUGGUGGGGUGAUGGCCUACCAAGGCGACGACGGGUAGCCGGCCUGAGAGGGUGACCGGCCACACUGGGACUGAGAUACGGCCCAGACUCCUACGGGAGGCAGCAGUGGGGAAUAUUGCACAAUGGGCGCAAGCCUGAUGCAGCGACGCCGCGUGAGGGAUGACGGCCUUCGGGUUGUAAACCUCUUUCAGCACCGACGAAGCGCAAGUGACGGUAGGUGCAGAAGAAGGACCGGCCAACUACGUGCCAGCCGCCGCUGUAA